GAUGAACGCUAGCGGCAGGCUUAAUACAUGCAAGUCGUGGGGCAGCAUGAGUAGCAAUACUUGAUGGCGACCGGCCAACGGGUGAGGAACACGUACACAACCUUCCUUCAAGCGGGGAAUAGCCCAGAGAAAUUUGGAUUAAUACCCCAUAAUAUAUUUGAUAAGGCAUCUUAUUAAUAUUAAAGCUUCGGCACUUGAUGAUGGGUGUGCGGCUGAUUAGAUAGUUGGCGGGGUAACGGCCCACCAAGUCUACGAUCAGUAGCUGAUGUGAGAGCAUGAUCAGCCACACGGGCACUGAGACACGGGCCCGACUCCUACGGGAGGCAGCAGUAAGGAAUAUUGGACAAUGGACGAAAGUCUGAUCCAGCCAUGCCGCGUGAAGGAUUAAGGUCCUCUGGAUUGUAAACUUCUUUUAUAUGGGACGAAAAAAGGGCAUUCUUGUUCACUUGACGGUACCAUAUGAAUAAGCACCGGCUAACUCCGUGCCAGCA
rnacentral:rRNA from 1 species